CGGACGGGUGAGUAAUGUCUGGGAAACUGCCCGAUGGAGGGGGAUAACUACUGGAAACGGUAGCUAAUACCGCAUAACGUCGCAAGACCAAAGAGGGGGACCUUCGGGCCUCUUGCCAUCGGAUGUGCCCAGAUGGGAUUAGCUAGUAGGUGGGGUAACGGCUCACCUAGGCGACGAUCCCUAGCUGGUCUGAGAGGAUGACCAGCCACACUGGAACUGAGACACGGUUCAG
rnacentral:rRNA from 1 species